rnacentral:rRNA from 1 species
UACGUAGGGUCCGAGCGUUGUCCGGAAUUACUGGGCGUAAAGAGCUCGUAGGUGGUUUGUCGCGUUGUCCGUGAAAACUCACAGCUCAACUGUGGGCGUGCGGGCGAUACGGGCAGACUGGAGUACUGCAGGGGAGACUGGAAUUCCUGGUGUAGCGGUGGAAUGCGCAGAUAUCGAGAGGAACACCAGUGGCGAAGGCGGCAUCCUGGACCAACACUGACGCUGAGGAGCGAAAGCCAGGGGAGCAAACGGG